rnacentral:rRNA from 1 species
GGUGUAGGCGGCCAUGUAAGUCGGAUGUGAAAGCCCUCGGCUCAACCGAGGAAGUGCAUCUGAAACUGUGUGGCUUGAGUAUGGGAGAGGAAGGUGGAAUUCUCGGUGUAGCGGUGACAUGCGUAGAUAUCGGGAGGAACACCGGUGGCGAAGGCGGCCUUCUGGCCCAAUACUGACGCUGAGACCCGAAAGCGUGGGGAGCAAACAGGAUUAGAUACCCUGGUAGUCCACGCCGUAAACGUUGGGUACUAGGUGUGGGAGGUUUCAUACCUUCUGUGCCGCAGCUAACGCAUUAAGUACCCCGCCUGGGGAGUACGGCCGCAAGGUUAAA